AGCCUUGACGUUAUCCUCCGCGAGCUCGAGGCCGCCGGCGGCGGCGGCGCCUUGUCUCCUCAGUCGCAGGAGCACGUCGACGAAGUCCUCCUCCUCGCCCUCCGCCUUCUCGUCGUCGUGCGCCGCCAGGAUCUCGCCCAGGAACCUGUCCGACUCGUCGGCCAUGUCGUCUAGCUUCUUGUUCAGGCCCGUCAGCUUCCUCGCCGCCCACCCCGCCGCCUCCGGCAGCCGGUCCACCCACUGGAACCCGGCGAGCAGCUCCGACGUGUCCGCCAUCAUCUUCCUGAACCUCUCCGCCGUCGCGCCGCUGCCGCCGGCCGCCACGCGGGUGAUGACCCCGUUCGUGUAGGCGUACAGGAGCUCCCUGAGCUGGACGGCCCGCGCCGCCUCCGCGGCGCGGCGAGCGCGGGCGACGAGCGCGGCGGCCUCGGCGGCGCGGGCGGGCGCGGCGAGGGGAGAGGAGGUGCGCCACGGCCAGCUUCUUGGUGCGGCGCCACGCGUCGCCGAGCGGCGCGAAGGACAUGUUGCGCCCGCCGUAGAAGAGCCUCUCGGCGCUGUGCGACGGCGGCCGGGAGGCGAAGGCGAGGUCGUGGCCCCUGUACAGGUCGGCGGCGGCGGCCGCCGUGGACACGACCAGCGCCCCCGCACGGCCCAGGCGGAGGAACAUGAGGCCCCCGUCGCUGCCGUAGCGGCGGUGCAGGGCGUCCAACGAGCGGUGCGGGAGCUCCCCGACGAGGUGGAGGUGGCCGACGAACGGAAGCGACGGCGGCGACGGCGGAAGCUUCCCCUUUCCAAGAUUCUUGAUCGCGGCGACGACGACGACGACGAACACGAGCAACGCUGCGGCGACGACGACGUACGAUGACAUCUUGGUGGAUUUUGCCACAAAGGUUUGGAUUUUUACUCUGAAUAGCUUGGUGCUUAUAAAUCAAUCAGAGCACAAUGCAUUCCAUGUCCUUGUAACCAAUCAACACGGUGGCUGGUGGUGGCUAUCAGAUCGAUUGCGAGUCUGGAAUAUUCUAUGAUAGAUGUUUUUUUUUUCUCCAAAUUGGAUUUUUAUAGAACCACAUGUUUGAUGAACUCUUUUGCCAUGUAGUUGGGGAUAUUUUCUGAAGAUCAUCAUAAAUCAUCUCCAGUUGGAUGGCUGCUUUCUGGCUAUAGUGCACGUAUGUUUGUGAGUUGUGUCAGGUUGAUCUAGAAUUACAUUCAGAAAUACAUGUCAAAUAUUUGCGUUAUCAAGCACCAGCAUUUUGUGCUGUGAAGUUCCAAAAUACUCUGUACUGUUUACAGUCAAACACCUUUCUUAUAAUUUUUCAGGUAAGAGAACCUUUCAUAUAAAACACAAAGUACAGGUUUCUUCAAUACCACCUGUAUUAGUGCAGUAAAAUUGCACUUUGACACAUCCACACAAAAUUCAGUGCAAACCCAAAAACAGAAGAGAAAAGAAGAGAACAUGGGAAGAAGCUCUCAUUAUUGUAUAGACCCCCAUGCUUUUCAAUCCAAUCCUAUGAAUAGGCAGUGCCAUCUUAACACAAACCUACUUCUUACAUUUUCCCCUAUUUAUAACUUCUGUCCCUCAUCUAUAUCUAGAUGCCAAAUUAUUCAAUCUCAAUGCCUGACAUGGCCUUGGCCUGGAUCAGGAUUGCCAACAAGGUAAGCAAGAACUCCUACCAAUGGAGCAUUGAUGUAGGUAGUUGGUUCAGAUUUCCUGAAAUCGGCACGGUCAUCCUCAUAAACAUCAUCCUCCCCAGGCCCCCCAACAACUGCGCCAAUUAACGGGUUUGGGUUCGGGCUAGAUGAAUUGUAGUAAGGCGUGCCGUCGUUGCACGCAAUGCGCUGGGGAUGGCUCUUGAUCGAAGGCAACGAUGAUCCUCGAUGGUGUAUCCGUUGAGGAUACCGAUCGCCGUACCCGACCAUGUAUGACAUUUUCAUCGGGUUAUCUCCUAAUAUAUAAUCAGCCUGCAAAUAAGUAAAUAAGUACAAUAUAAUGUUCAGAGUUUAGUUAGUCAAUGUUCCUGCAUUUCAUAUUUGGAUGUUAUGUAGGACAAUUCAGUAGUCGCUCCCUCCAAUAUAAUUACUUUUGGAUCUUGACAUAAUCUUUGUGAUGCUACUUUGACAAAAAGUUAUUUUAAAUAAAAAGAGUUGCAUAUUAUGACAGUUUGUUUAAUGAUAAGUCUAGUAACAUCAUUCUUACAUAAUCAGUUUAUAAUCUUUUUUAUUAAUAAUUAAAGUUUAACAUGCUUGACUUAGCAUUAUUUCAAAAGUUAGUUAUAUUUUGGGAUGGAGGUACUACCUGCUUUCUGGCUAGCUGCUGAAGAGUGGCAGGACCAACCGAAACAUUUCCACAGUUGACAGUGCGCGAGGAAUUGGAGAGGUACUUGGCAUAAGUCAGGAGCAGGAACGAAAUGGAUGUAACAUGCUGCAUGUUGCUGCCUCCAGGCUUGUAGAUCAUGCCCCCGGGCGUGUACGUGAUGUGCGGAGACGACGACUCCGGAAUCAGUGUGCAGAUGAAUCCAUCUGCAAACUCCUUGUAGGAUUGCAGAGAUAGCACCUCGCCAUCUAUGAACUCCUGUAACCAAAUUUGGAACCCAUUUUCUCUUUGUGUCAGCUACUGAUGUUUCUCUGAAUUUGUUGCAGCUGCAGAAGGUGUGUUCAGAAACUGGAGGAGAUUGAUGGAGGCAAACCUUGGAGACAAGGACAUUGAUGCCGGCAUGCUUGUUGUCCCAGCCGAAUUCGUUGGUGCUAUCCUCUGCUCCAAGGGUCUUGCCGUUGUUCUGAAUGUAGUCGAGGUAGGUGCCUUCCUUGGAGGCUCUCCGUAGCCAUGCUGCUCCCCACAGCAGCUCAUCCUGCCAAGAAUUUUCAGUCGUGUGAACUUUGAGAUUUUUAUUCACCCCCCCCCCCCC
rnacentral:sRNA from 1 species